rnacentral:rRNA from 1 species
CAGCCGCCGCGGUAAUACGGGGGGUGCAAGCGUUAUUCGGAAUGAUUGGGUGUAAAGGGUGUGCAGACGGCUUAUUAAGUCACUUGUUAAAUCCUUCGGCCUAACUGAAGGUCUGCAAGUGAUACUGAUGAGCUAGAGGGUGGAAGAGAGAAGUGGAAUUCUCGGAGUAGCGGUAAAAUGCGUAGAUCUCGAGAGGAACACCAAUGGCGAAGGCAGCUUCUUGGUCCAUUCCUGACGUUCAUACACGAAAGCGUGGGGAGCAAACAGGAUUAGAUACCCCCGUAGUCCCUGUCUCUUAUAA